AGUCAAUAUCUGAUACAUAAGCUAAUGUUAGAUGAUAAAAAUAUAUUUUUAUCAUCUAACAUUAGCUUAUGUAUCAGAUAUUGACU